AGUGAACGCUGGCGGCAGGCCUAAUACAUGCAAGUCGAACGGCAGCACAGCAGAGCUUGCUCUGUGGGUGGCGAGUGGCGGACGGGUGAGGAAUACAUGGGAAUCUGCCCAGUCGUGGGGGAUAACGUAUGGAAACGUACGCUAAUACCGCAUGCGCCCUACGGGGGAAAGUCGGGGACCGCAAGGCCUGACGCGAUUGGAUGAGCCCAUGUUCGAUUAGCUAGUUGGCGGGGUAAAGGCCCACCAAGACGACGAUCGAUAGCUGGUCUGAGAGGAUGAUCAGCCACACUGGAACUGAGACACGGUCCAGACUCCUACGGGAGGCAGCAGUGGGGAAUAUUGGACAAUGGGCGCAAGCCUGAUCCAGCAAUGCCGCGU
rnacentral:rRNA from 1 species